UUGAACGCUGGCGGCAUGCUUUACACAUGCAAGUCGAACGGUAACAGGUCUUUCGGGAUGCUGACGAGUGGCGAACGGGUGAGUAAUGCGUCGGAACGUGCCCAGGAGUGGGGGAUAACGCAGCGAAAGCUGUGCUAAUACCGCAUAUAUUCUGAGGAAUAAAGAGGGGGACCUUCGGGCCUCUCGCUUUUGGAGCGGCCGACGUCUGAUUAGCUAGAUGGUGAGGUAAAGGCUCACCAUGGCGACGAUCAGUAGCUGGUCUGAGAGGAUGAUCAGCCACACUGGGACUGAGACACGGCCCAGACUCCUACGGGAGGCAGCAGUGGGGAAUUUUGGACAAUGGGGGCAACCCUGAUCCAGCAAUGCCGCGUGAGUGAAGAAGGCCUUCGGGUUGUAAAGCUCUUUUAUCUGGGAGCAAAGCGGUUGUGUUAAUACCACAACUGGAUGAGAGUACCAGAAGAAUAAGCACCGGCUAACUACGU
rnacentral:rRNA from 1 species